rnacentral:tRNA from 2 species
GUCCUUGUAGUACAAACACAAUACCCUGGUCUUGUAAACCAGAAAUGGGGAACCCUCUCCCAAGGACA